rnacentral:tRNA from 1 species
GCGCCCAUAGCUCAGCUGGAUAGAGUGUCUGACUACGAAUCAGAAGGUCGCAGGUUCGAAUCCUGCUGGGCGCGCCA